rnacentral:rRNA from 1 species
CCCCAGCCCGCUCUGGAUACUGGCUGACUAGAGUUACAUAGAGGUAAGUGGAAUUCUUAGUGGAGCGGUGGAAUGCGUAGAUAUUAGGAAGAACACCAAUGGCGAAGGCAGCUUACUGGAUGUACACUGACGCUCAGGGACGAAAGCGUGGGGAGCAAACAGGAUUAGAUACCCUGGUAGUCCACGCCGUAAACGAUGAUCAUUAGCCGCUAGAAUAUUUAGUGGCGCAGCUAACGCAUUAAAUGAUCCGCCUGAGUAGUAUGCUCGCAAGAGUGAAACUUAAAGGAAUUGACGGGGACCCGCACAAGCGGUGGAGCAUGUGGUUUAAUUUGAAGAUACGCGUAGAACCUUACCCACUCUUGACAUCUUCCGCAAUACUAUGGAGACAUAGUGGAGGUUAACGGAAUGACAGAUGGUGCAUGGUUGUCGUCAGCUCGUGCCGUGAGGUGUUAGGUUAAGUCCUGCAACGAGCGCAACCCCUGUCUUUAGUUACUAACGGAUAAUGCCGAGGACUCUAGAGAGACUGACUGGGUAACCAGUAGGAAGGUGGGGACGACGUCAAAUCAUCAUGCCUCUUACGAGUGGGGCAACACACGUGCUACAAUGGACGGUACAAAGAGAAGCAAUAUGGUGACAUGGAGCAAACCCCAAAAAACCGUUCUCAGUUCGGAUUGAAGUCUGAAACUCGACUUCAUGAAGUUGGAAUCGCUAGUAAUCGUAGAUCAGCUACGCUACGGUGAAUACGUUCUCGGGUCUUGUACACACCGCCCGUC